GACGAACGCUGGCGGCGUGCUUAACACAUGCAAGUCGAACGAGUGGCGAACGGGUGAGUAAUACGUGGGUAACCUGCCCUCUUUUUGGGCUAAGCCUUGUAAACGGGGUCUAAUACCGCAUAAAGGGGGAUGGGCUCGCGGCCUUUCAGCUUGUAGGUGUGGUGAUGGCGUCCCAAGGCGGUGACGGUUAGCCGGCCUGAGAGGGUGACGGGCCACAUUGAGGCUGCGAUACCGCACAGACGCCUACAGGAGGGAGCAGUGGGGGAUGUUGCACAACGUGCUAGAGCCUGGUGCAGCGACGCCGCGGGGGGUAUGGAGGCUAUCGCGUUGUAAACCUCUUUCGCUAUCGAACGGGUAGGGGGAUAGGAAGCGCCGGCUAACUACGUGCCAGCAGCCGCGGUAAGAC
rnacentral:rRNA from 1 species